CGGGUGGUAAUGCCGGAUGCUCCAGUUGACCGCAUGGUCCUCUGGGAAAGCUUUUGCGGUAUGGGAUGGGGUCGCGUCCUAUCAGCUUGAUGGCGGGGUAACGGCCCACCAUGGCUUCGACGGGUAGCCGGCCUGAGAGGGCGACCGGCCACAUUGGGACUGAGAUACGGCCCAGACUCCUACGGGAGGCAGCAGUGGGGAAUAUUGCACAAUGGGCGCAAGCCUGAUGCAGCGACGCCGCGUGCGGGAUGACGGCCUUCGGGUUGUAAACCGCUUUUGACUGGGAGCAAGCCCUUCGGGGUGAGUGUACCUUUCGAAUAAGCACCGGCUAACUACGUGCCAGCAGCCGCGGUAAUACGUAGGGUGCAAGCGUUAUCCGGAAUUAUUGGGCGUAAAGGGCUCGUAGGCGGUUCGUCGCGUCCGGUGUGAAAGUCCAUCGCUUAACGGUGGAUCCGCGCCGGGUACGGGCGGGCUUGAGUGCGGUAGGGGAGACUGUUUUUCCCGGUGUAACGGUGGAAUGUGUAGAUAUCGGGAAGAACACCA
rnacentral:rRNA from 1 species